CUUUACUGAAAGCAUGGAAAACACCUGAGCUGUGUUUCAUCACACUGCUAACGGGGCAGCUCUUUAAGUGGCAGAGCAAAGCACACAGCCAUCAUGUGACUGAAUCAACACCUUCAAUGGCAAGGUCUGGGAGUGUCAGGAUUUAUAUGGAACAAGGUCAGCUCCAGCCUUAUGGUGACAUCAUUUGUACUGUCAGUAAUUUGGCUGUCUACAUUUGUAACAAACAAGGAACAACAUCCUCUACAACUACAUGUUGGAUAUUUCAAGGGUGACAAGAACUGGAUGCAGUAUUCCAGAAGAGGCUUUAUCAACGUCCUGUACAACCUCAAUGAUGCCUCAAUUCCUAUACUCAAACAUCUGAGCAAUUAAGGUGGUAUUGCUUUGACUAUCCACAAUUUGGAAUCUACUAUAUCAGAAAGCUUUGAGAACUAUGAAGAAUUCUGGAAAGAAAGCAAGGAACCAUUUGUCACACGAAUGAUACUCUACUGCAUGGUCAAACAAUAAAGAAACAGAACUACCAGGUCAGGGAAUUGUUCAAGGCACUACACAGGUCUUGUACUCAACAUGAAAUGCAAUUCUCAACGAUUAAUCCCAUUUAUGAGACUUGCAAGGCAAGACCCUAAUAUAUCACUGUGGAUCCAAGAAAGAUAAGGAUCAUUAAGUGAAUUUGCAGCACUAAAGUGUGUAAAUGAUACUGCACAUUAUUAAGCAUAAUGAA